ACUCCUACGGGAGGCAGCAGUAGGGAAUCUUCCACAAUGGGCGCAAGCCUGAUGGAGCAACACCGCGUGAGUGAAGAAGGGUUUCGGCUCGUAAAGCUCUGUUGUUAAAGAAGAACACGUAUGAGAGUAACUGUUCAUACGUUGACGGUAUUUAACCAGAAAGUCACGGCUAACUACGUGCCAGCAGCCGCGGUAAUACGUAGGUGGCAAGCGUUAUCCGGAUUUAUUGGGGCGUAAAGAGAGUGCAGGCGGUUUUCUAAGUCUGAUGUGAAAGCCUUCGGCUUAACCGGAGAAGUGCAUCGGAAACUGGAUAACUUGAGUGCAGAAGAGGGUAGUGGAACUCCAUGUGUAGCGGUGGAAUGCGUAGAUAUAUGGAAGAACACCAGUGGCGAAGGCGGCUACCUGGUCUGCAACUGACGCUGAGACUCGAAAGCAUGGGUAGCGAACAGGAUUAGAUACCCUGGUAGG
rnacentral:rRNA from 1 species